GGGUGAGUCGGGAGCUAAGGCGAGGCCGAGAGGCGUAGUCGAUGCACAACUGGUUGAUAUUCCAGUACUGCCGUGCCCGCGCCAGGUCCAAGAGUGACAACAUCGGGGCUGCCUUCGGGCGAGCCGUUCGCGUUGCUGGCGGAUAGCUGGAGGGGGACGCAGGAAGGUAGGUGAACCGGGGCGAUGGUUGUCCCCGGGUAAGCGUGUAGGGGGACCCCGAUGAGAGUUGGGGUCAUUAACUCUGAGACGUGAUGCCGAGCCGAUUAAGGCGAAGUCACUGAUCCUAUGCUGCCAAGAAAAGCCCAACAGUGAGUUGGCACGGCACCCGUACCCCAAACCGACACAGGUGGGCGGGUAGAGAAUACCAAGGCGAUCGGGAGAACUAUGGUUAAGGAACUCGGCAAAUUACAUCCGUAACUUCGGGAGAAGGAUGACCCUAUUAGGGUGAAGGGAUUUACUCCCCGAGCUCGAGAGGGUGGCACAAACCAGGGGGUAGCGACUGUUUACCAAAAACACAGCAGCGUGCGAAGCCGCAAGGCGCUGUAUACGCUGUGACGCCUGCCCAAUGCUGGAAGGUCACGGGGAACGGUUAGUCGAAAGGCAAAGCUGUGAACCUAAGCCCCAGUGAAUGGCGGCCGUAACUAUAACGGUCCUAAGGUAGCGAAAUUCCUUGUCGGGUAAGUUCCGACCUGCACGAAUGGCGUAACGACUUCCCCACUGUCUCAACCAUAGACCCGGCGAAAUUGAAGUACGAGUAAAGAUGCUCGUUAGCUGCGGAAGGACGGAAAGACCCCAUGGACCUUCACUACAACUUGAUAUUGAGCUUUGUCCUGCAUUGUGUAGGAUAGGUGGGAGACUUGGAAGCGGUGGCGCCAGCCAUCGUGGAGUCAACGUUGAAAUACCACCCUGUGUAUGACGGGGCUCUAACCUGGGUCCAUUAUCUGGAUCAGGAACAGUGUCAGGCGGGUAGUUUGACUGGGGCGGUCGCCUCCUAAAAUGUAACGGAGGCGCCCAAAGGUUCCCUCAGGCUGGUUGGCAAUCAGCCGUCGAGUGCAAUGACACAAGGGAGCUUGACUGCGAGACUGACAGGUCAAGCAGGUGCGAAAGCAGGGCAUAG
rnacentral:rRNA from 1 species